UCCCUAAAGAAAUGAGUGAAUAGAGCACC
rnacentral:piRNA from 1 species